GUUAAUGCAGCUGAUAUUUGCAUCUUACAGAAGAUCAACCUCAAAGUGAUAAUGUAAUAUUUGGUCCAAGCACUGGAAAUCAGCGGAUUGAAAGAUGGUGGUUGACCCUGCGAAGUGAAUGUAUCCAGUUCUGGAUGGACCUCUUUGACAAACUGAAAGCAGAUGGACACUUCUCGGAUAACUUCUUGGACAAAGCCUUGAUCCAGUUCUGUUUUCUCCACAUAAUACAGAAAGAACUAAAUGAAGUUGUUUCAGCUUGGAACCACCACAGGAUACGUCCAACACACAAUUCACGAAGUCCUCAUGGGCGACCAUUCAUGAUGUACACAGUACCUCAGGUGUAUGGAACCAGAGACUAUCUACACAGCAUUGAUCUGAGCAGGGUUGAAGCCUGCUUGGAAAACUGUGUUUUCAAAGACUUUCCAUGCGAUGAAGAUGUCGUCAGUAUCUGUGUGGACCUGAUUUCAGAGCAUAACCUGAAUGUCACAGAUGAUGUGUUUGCAACAACUGAUCUAUACAAAGACUCAGACAGCUGAUUACCAGAGAUUUGGAGCUGCAUUGAUAAAUGUAAAAACAUUUUGUUGCGUUGACAGUUUGCUACCUCGUCCCUAAUUUGGACUUCAGUAGAUAUUUGAUGACAUUGUGAGAGUGGCAGCAUUUGCUUCAACACAUUGUUGCACCAGUAUAAAGAUGGGUCAAAGCCAUUCACAAGUUCUGUAACUAAGCAAGAAGAGACACUAAAGUAAGAUAAAUCAUGCUGAGCUGAUAAAAUAAGUCUGACAUUAGAAAAAUAUAUUGAUGCAUUGGACAGAUGAUUUUUGGUUUUGAUAUUUUCCCUUUAUUAUCAAUAUCAUUGCAUUACAGUUUGAACAUUAUGCUGAUUAUUAAACAGGAAAUAAAGGAAUUGAGAACUGC